UACUGCACGGUCCGAAACUUGAACCUCAUUAGGGUUUUCAGUUCGACGAUCUGAGAAGGAAGGAGAGGUAGCAGCGGUGCACAGUGAAAUUAAGUGGAGAUGUCGAAGAAGAACAGCUUAUCGCGACGGAAGAAACAGUACGAAUUCGACCUACAAAGAGAAAAAGAAGAGAGAGAGAAGAGGCAAAAGAAACUCCAGGUGAAAAAGACUAAGAUGAAGAUUGAUAGUAGCGGGAAGAAGAAGAAGAAGGGUUCGGGUGGUUUUCAAGUUGGGAAGA